UGGGGAAUAUUGGACAAUGGGCGAAAGCCUGAUCCAGCCAUGCCGCGUGUGUGAAGAAGGUCUUCGGAUUGUAAAUCACUUUAUGUUGGGUGGAAGGGCAGUAAGCGAAUACCUUGCUGUUUUGACGUUACCGACAGAAUAAGCACCGGCUAACUCUGUGCCAGCAGCCGCGGUAAUACAGAGGGUGCAAGCGUUAAUCGGAAUUACUGGGCGUAAAGCGCGCGUAGGUGGUUCGUUAAGUUGAAUGUGAAAGCCCCGGGCUCAACCUGGGAACUGCAUCCAAAACUGGCGAGCUAGAGUAGGGCAGAGGGUGGUGGAAUUUCCUGUGUAGCGGUGAAAUGCGUAGAUAUAGGAAGGAACACCAGUGGCGAAGGCGACCACCUGGGCUCAUACUGACACUGAGGUGAGAAAGCGUAGGGAGCAAACAGG
rnacentral:rRNA from 1 species